rnacentral:rRNA from 1 species
UCGAGAAUUUUUCACAAUGGGCGCAAGCCUGAUGGAGCGACGCCGCGUGGGGGAUGAAUGGCUUCGGCCCGUAAACCCCUGUCAUUCGCGAUCAACCCUUAUUAUUUAAAAGAUGAUAAGCUGAUAGUAGCGGAAGAGGAAGGGACGGCUAACUCUGUGCCAGCAGCCGCGGUAAUACAGAGGUCCCAAGCGUUGUUCGGAUUCACUGGGCGUAAAGGGUGCGUAGGUGGUGACGUAAGUCGGAUGUGAAAUCUCGGAGCUCAACUCCGAAAUGGCAUUGGAAACUGCGUUGCUAGAGGGUCGGAGGGGGGACUGGAAUACUUGGUGUAGCAGUGAAAUGCGUAGAUAUCAAGUGGAACACCAGUGGCGAAGGCGAGUCCCUGGACGACUCCUGACACUGAGGCACGAAAGCUAGGGGAGCAAACA